AGUGGGGAAUAUUGGUCAAUGGGCGCAAGCCUGAACCAGCCACGCCGCGUGAGUGAUGAAGGCCUUCGGGUUGUAAAGCUCUGUGGGGAGGGAAGAAAACGGCAGGUAAGAAACGACCUGUCCUUGACGGUACCUCCUUAGCAAGCACCGGCUAACUCUGUGCCAGCAGCCGCGGUAAUACAGAGGGUGCGAACGUUGCUCGGAAUUACUGGGCGUAAAGCGCAUGUAGGCGGGUCGGCAAGUCAGAUGUGAAAUCCCCGGGCUCAACCCGGGAACUGCAUCUGAAACUGCUGGUCUUGAGUACUGGAGAGGGUGGCGGAAUUCCUGGUGUAGAGGUGAAAUUCGUAGAUAUCAGGAGGAACACCGGUGGCGAAGGCGGCCACCUGGACAGUAACUGACGCUGAGAUGCGAAAGCGUGGGGAGCAAA
rnacentral:rRNA from 1 species